CCAGCUCAAUGGCAUAGAGGUUAAUCGUUUGAUUUCAAGGCUGAAGGUCUUGGGUUCAACUCCCAGUUGUGGAG
rnacentral:tRNA from 1 species